rnacentral:misc_RNA from 1 species
GUGAUCCUUAUCUCACUACAAAUGACAUUCUGCUUGGCACCGUGGACAGACCAAAAGCUGCCCAGCCCUUGUAUGCUGCCCUUGAAGACCUCUACUCUAGUCUAAGGUGUUAGUUGCCACUUGCCAGGCUCUCUGAUGUGGCCUGUCUCUACUGGAUUAUGGAUGUGAAGUCUCUAUCCAAUCUAAAGUCUCUAUUUGCGUGUGCCAUUUAUCUGUCAGCGGUUGAGAUUUGCGCUUGCUCCUUAACUUGAUUCCCCCGCUCUGAAUUGUAUAGUGGCACUAAUUUUGUUGGGUAUAU